UACGUAGGGUGCGAGCGUUGUCCGGAAUUAUUGGGCGUAAAGAGCUUGUAGGCGGUUUGUCGCGUCUGCUGUGAAAUCCGGGGCUCAACCCCGGACUUGCAGUGGGUACGGGCAGACUAGAGUGUGGUAGGGGGAGACUGGAAUUCCUGGUGUAGCGGUGAAAUGCGCAGAUAUCAGGAGGAACACCUGUGGUGUAGACAGCUUACUGGACCACUUCUGACGCUGAGACACGAAAGCGUGGGUAGCAAACAGG
rnacentral:rRNA from 1 species